rnacentral:rRNA from 1 species
GAUGAACGCUGGCGGCGUGCCUAAUACAUGCAAGUCGAGCGAACGGACGAGAAGCUUGCUUCUCUGAUGUUAGCGGCGGACGGGUGAGUAACACGUGGAUAACCUACCUAUAAGACUGGGAUAACUUCGGGAAACCGGAGCUAAUACCGGAUAAUAUUUUGAACCGCAUGGUUCAAAAGUGAAAGACGGUCUUGCUGUCACUUAUAGAUGGAUCCGCGCUGCAUUAGCUAGUUGGUAAGGUAACGGCUUACCAAGGCAACGAUGCAUAGCCGACCUGAGAGGGUGAUCGGCCACACUGGAACUGAGACACGGUCCAGACUCCUACGGGAGGCAGCAGUAGGGAAUCUUCCGCAAUGGGCGAAAGCCUGACGGAGCAACGCCGCGUGAGUGAUGAAGGUCUUCGGAUCGUAAAACUCUGUUAUUAGGGAAGAACAUAUGUGUAAGUAACUGUGCACAUCUUGACGGUACCUAAUCAGAAAGCCACGGCUAACUACGUGCCAGCAGCCGCGGUAAUACGUAGGUGGCAAGCGUUAUCCGGAAUUAUUGGGCGUAAAGCGCGCGUAGGCGGUUUUUUAAGUCUGAUGUGAAAGCCCACGGCUCAACCGUGGAGGGUCAUUGGAAACUGGAAAACUUGAGUGCAGAAGAGGAAAGUGGAAUUCCAUGUGUAGCGGUGAAAUGCGCAGAGAUAUGGAGGAACACCAGUGGCGAAGGCGACUUUCUGGUCUGUAACUGACGCUGAUGUGCGAAAGCGUGGGGAUCAAACAGGAUUAGAUACCCUGGUAGUCCACGCCGUAAACGAUGAGUGCUAAGUGUUAGGGGGUUUCCGCCCCUUAGUGCUGCAGCUAACGCAUUAAGCACUCCGCCUGGGGAGUACGACCGCAAGGUUGAAACUCAAAGGAAUUGACGGGGACCCGCACAAGCGGUGGAGCAUGUGGUUUAAUUCGAAGCAACGCGAAGAACCUUACCAAAUCUUGACAUCCUUUGACAACUCUAGAGAUAGAGCCUUCCCCUUCGGGGGACAAAGUGACAGGUGGUGCAUGGUUGUCGUCAGCUCGUGUCGUGAGAUGUUGGGUUAAGUCCCGCAACGAGCGCAACCCUUAAGCUUAGUUGCCAUCAUUAAGUUGGGCACUCUAAGUUGACUGCCGGUGACAAACCGGAGGAAGGUGGGGAUGACGUCAAAUCAUCAUGCCCCUUAUGAUUUGGGCUACACACGUGCUACAAUGGACAAUACAAAGGGCAGCGAGACCGCGAGGUCAAGCAAAUCCCAUAAAGUUGUUCUCAGUUCGGAUUGUAGUCUGCAACUCGACUACAUGAAGCUGGAAUCGCUAGUAAUCGUAGAUCAGCAUGCUACGGUGAAUACGUUCCCGGGUCU